UGCGGCCCGUGUCAAAAGCCUGAUCUCGUCGGAUCUCAGAAGCUAAGCACGGCCAGGCCUGGUUAGCACUUGGAUGGAAGACCGCUGGGAAUAUCAAACGCCACAA
rnacentral:rRNA from 1 species